AAGUCAAAUUUUUAUGUGCUUCAUUCUUCUUUAUAUUGAGAGAUUAAAGAGGCAAUCAAGAUGUGGGACUAUACUGGAUAUGUUAUUGUUGACAGAGGUGAUCAAGUUGAAAAGUGAACAUAUUGGUAGAGCUUUUUUCUAAAAAUAAUAGAUGUGUUUGUACUUUGUUCAUUAGAAAUUGCAGGUAUCAAUCUCAAGUGUGGUUGGACUUCUAUCCACAUGGAGCUAUGCUUCAAUACUUUGAGGAUUCGG